rnacentral:rRNA from 1 species
CCCUAGUAACUGCGAGUGAAGCGGGAAAAGCUCAAAUUUAAAAUCUGGCGGUUUUGCCGUCCGAGUUGUAGUCUGGAGAAGCGUUUUCCGUGCUGGACCGUGUAAAAGUCUCUUGGAACAGAGCAUCAUAGAGGGUGAGAAUCCCGUCUUUGACAUGGACUACCAGUGCUUUGUGAUGCGCUCUCGAAGAGUCGCGUUGUUUGGGAAUGCAGCGCAAAAUGGGUGGUAUAUUCCAUCUAAAGCUAAAUAUUGGCGAGAGACCGAUAGCGAACAAGUACCGUGAGGGAAAGAUGAAAAGCACUUUGGAAAGAGAGUUAAACAGUACGUGAAAUUGUUGAAAGGGAAACGCUUGAAGUCAGUCGCGUCUGCUGGGACUCAGCCUUGCAUUUUUGCUUGGUGUAUUUCCUAGUUGACGGGCCAGCAUCGAUUUUGACCGUUGGAUAAAGUUCGAGGGAAUGUGGCACCUCCGGGUGUGUUAUAGCCCUUGUCCGCAUGCAACGGUUGGGAUCGAGGUUCGCAGCACGCCUUUAUGGCCGGGGUUCGCCCACGUACGUGCUUAGGAUGCUGGCGUAAUGGCUUUAAACGA